CCCUUAGAUGUUCUGGGCCGCACGCGCGCUACACUGACGAUGGCAACGAGUUUUUCCUUCGCCGAAAGGUGUGGGUAAUCUUUUGAAACAUCGUCGUGCUGGGGAUAGAUCAUUGCAAUUUUUGAUCUUGAACGAGGAAUUCCUAGUAAGCGCGAGUCAUCAGCUCGCGUUGAUUACGUCCCUGCCCUUUGUAGACACCGCCCGUCGCUACUACCGAUUGAAUGGUUUAGUGAGGACUCCUGAUUGGCGCCGCCGCCCCGGCAACGGAGCAGCGGACUGCCGAAAAGUUGUUCAAACUUGAUCAUUUAGAGGAAGUAAAAGUCGUAACA
rnacentral:rRNA from 1 species